ACUAAUUACUAACUGACAUGAUAGUGUGGAGUAAUCUGCACUAUUACUUGAACUAGUUAAAUUAACUCUAUAAAUAUAUAUAAGGUUGAUAAAAUCUUAAAUUUUCAACGAUGGAUGUCUUGGCUCCCAUAUCGAUGAAGAACGCAGCUAGAAUGCGAUAUGCAAUGUGAAUUGCAGAACCACGAAUCAUCGGAUCUUUGAACGCAACUGGCGCUGAUUAACUCAGCAUACUUGUUUCAGUGUGCUCAAACAAAUCAAUCAUAAAAAUGUGAGAGAAUAUCUCUCAUUAAAUAAAUGCUCUCAGCAGCAAUCACAUUAUUUGUGAUCUGUUUGAGUUGAUUAAUGCCUUACUCGCACCUGAAAUCAAGUAAGAUGACCCGCUGGACUUAAGCAUAUUACUAAGCGGAGGAAAAGAAAUUAACAAAGAUUGCCUUAGUAAGGGCGACUGAACCGGCAAGAGCUCAAAAUUGGAAUCGGAGAUUCAACGAAUCUUCGAAUUGUAAUCAGGUCCGCCUAAAUACGAAUACUGGCUCAAGCUCGUCGAAACGAGCGCCAUAGAGGGUGAAAGCCCCGUACAGCUUUUAUUCGAGUAAGGGGGAUUCCACAAGAGUCGGGUUGCUUGGAACUGCAGCCCUAAGCGGGAGAUAUGAAUCUUCCAAAGCUAAAUAUGGAUGGGAGACCGAUAGCGAACAAGUACUGUGAAGGAAAGAUGAAAAGGACUUUGAAAAGAGAGUGAAAAGAUCUGAAAUCGUUGAGAAGGAAGCGGUAGAAACUGAUGGUCGCACUGAUAGGAUAACGCGGUGAACCACUGCGGAGUUCUUACCAAAGCGACGGGCAAAAUGAAGUUAGAUGCGUCAAAAAAGGCUUAGCCGUGUAAGGCGUAUCUAGCUUGAGGGACUAUUUGUGAUUUUGCCAAAAUGGUUUUUACUGUCCCGUCUUGAAACACGGACCAAGGAGUCUAGCUUACAUGCGAGUUGUGCGAGUGGAAAAACUCAUACGCGGAAUGAAAAGUAAAAGGUGCGCAGCGCAAGCAGCAGCAUCGACCGACCUAGUAAGAAAAGGUUUGAGUGGAAGCAUGUUGGCUAGGACCCCAAAGAUGGUGA
rnacentral:rRNA from 1 species